CCUACGGGAGGCAGCAGUGGGGAAUAUUGCACAAUGGGGGAAACCCUGAUGCAGCGACGCCGCGUGAGUGAAGAAGUAAUUCGUUAUGUAAAGCUCUAUCAGCCGGGAAGAAAAUGACGGUACCUGAGUAAGAAGCCCCGGCUAAAUACGUGCCAGAAGCCGCGGUAAUUCGUAGGGGGCAAGCGUUAUCCGGAUUUACUGGGUGUAAAGGGAGCGUAGACGGCAGUGCAAGUCUGGAGUGAAAGGCGGGGGCUCAACCCCCGGACUGCUCUGGAAACUGUACGGCGGGAGUGGAGGAGAGGUAAGUGGAAUUCCUAGUGUAGCGGUGAAAUGCAUAGAUAUUGGGAGGAACACCAGUGGCGAAGGCGGCGUACUGGACUGUAACUGACGUUGAGGCUCGAAAGCGUGGGGAGCAAACAGGAUUAGAUACCCUGGUAGUC
rnacentral:rRNA from 1 species